UACGAAGGGGGCUAGCGUUGUUCGGAAUCACUGGGCGUAAAGGGCGCGUAGGCGGCUUUAUAAGUCGGGGGUGAAAGCCUGUGGCUCAACCACAGAAUUGCCUUCGAUACUGUAGAGCUUGAGACCGGAAGAGGUAAGUGGAACUGCGAGUGUAGAGGUGAAAUUCGUAGAUAUUCGCAAGAACACCAGUGGCGAAGGCGGCUUACUGGUCCGGUUCUGACGCUGAGGCGCGAAAGUGUGGGGAGCAAACAGG
rnacentral:rRNA from 1 species